GCUUUUUGUUCGUAAUAUGAUUCUUCUAAAAUGUAAGACGAACAAAAAGUUUGU
rnacentral:miRNA from 1 species